rnacentral:rRNA from 1 species
AACGAACGCUGGCGGCAUGCUUAACACAUGCAAGUCGAACGCUCGGGCUUUGGCCCGGGAGUGGCGCACGGGUGAGUAGCGCGUGGGAACCUGCCCUCUUGUGGGGGAUAACCGAGGGAAACCUCGGCUAAUACCGCAUAAGCCGGAGAAAUCCGGGAAAGAUUUAUCGCGAGAGGAGGGGCCCGCGUCGGAUUAGCUUGUUGGUGGGUAACGGCCUACCAAGGCGAUGAUCCGUAGCUGGUCNG